UACAUUGGUUCUUAUCCUUGCUAAGUAGUAGUGCCGCAGGUAAUUAAAAUAAUCAUUUACCUGCUCUCUACUGCUUAACAAGGUAUAACCAAAAAUCAUCG